rnacentral:rRNA from 1 species
GGAAUAUUGGUCAAUGGCCGGAAGGCUGAACCAGCCAUGCCGCGUGCAGGAAUGAGGCCCUAUGGGUCGUAAACUGCUUUUGUGGCGGAGCAAUAAGGGUUACGUGUAAUCCGAUGAGAGUACGUCACGAAUAAGCAUCGGCUAACUCCGUGCCAGCAGCCGCGGUAAUACGGAGGAUGCGAGCGUUAUCCGGAUUUAUUGGGUUUAAAGGGUGCGUAGGCGGGUUGCCAAGUCAGGGGUGAAAUCCCGGAGCCUAACUCCGGAACUGCCCUUGAUACUGGUGGUCUUGAAUGCGGAUGCCGUGGGAGGAAUGAGUAGUGUAGCGGUGAAAUGCAUAGAUAUUACUCAGAACACCGAUUGCGAAGGCAUCUCACGAAUCCGUGAUUGACGCUGAGGCACGAAAGCGUGGGGAUCAAACA